UCUACGGGUGGGCAGCAGUGAGGAAUAUUGGUCAAUGGGCGGAAGCCUGAACCAGCCAAGUAGCGUGCAGGAUGACGGCCCUACGGGUUGUAAACUGCUUUUAUACGGGAAUAACGCGCCUUACGUGUAGGGCUUUGCAUGUACCGUAUGAAUAAGGACCGGCUAAUUCCGUGCCAGCAGCCGCGGUAAUACGGAAGGUCCGGGCGUUAUCCGGAUUUAUUGGGUUUAAAGGGAGCGUAGGCGGCAUGUCAAGCUUGCGGUGAAAUGUCCGGGCUCAACCCGGGCCUUGCGGUGCGAACUGGCGUGCUUGAGUGCGCGGAGAGCAGGCGGAAUUGGUCGUGGAGCGGUGAAAUGCUUAGGUAUGACGAAGAACCCCGAUUGCGAAGGCAGCUUGCUGCAGCGGAACUGACGCUGAUGCUCGAAAGCGCGGGUAUCGAACAGGAUUAGAUACCCUGGUAGUC
rnacentral:rRNA from 1 species